GGGGCUGAUUCUGGAUUCGACGGGAUUCGCGAAACCCAAGGUGCAUGCCGAGGGGCGGUUGGCCUCGUAAAAAGCCGCAAAAAAAUAGUCGCAAACGACGAAAACUACGCUUUAGCAGCUUAAUAACCUGCUCAGAGCCCUCUCUCCCUAGCCUCCGCUCUUAGGACGGGGAUCAAGAGAGGUCAAACCUAAAAGAGAUCGCGUGGAUGCCCUGCCUGGGGUUGAAGCGUUAAAACUAAUCAGGCUAGUUUGUUAGUGGCGUGUCCGUUCGCAGCUGGCAAGCGAAUGUAAAGACUGGACUAAGCAUGUAGUACCGAGGAUGUAGGAAUUUCGGACGCGGGUUCAACUCCCGCCAGCUCCACCA
rfam:Trabulsiella guamensis ATCC 49490 GTGT.assembly.079, whole genome shotgun sequence.